CGAGUAGUAGCUCAUAGUACAGCUCCCGCUUCGUAUGCGGGAAGACUUGGGUUCGAUUCCCUGAUGCUUGC
rnacentral:tRNA from 1 species